UUAAGAAAACCCAUUAAAUACAAAAGACCAAAUGGUGUAUUCAUUAAUUAAAUUUAAAAUUAUUUAAUUUAUUGUUAUAUUUAUGAGUUAUUUAAUCAAUUAAAAUAAAAAUAAAAAGUGAAGGCAUUGGUAGUAAUAAUUAAUUUAUUAAAAUUAAUUUGUUAAAAAUUAUUUUAACAAAAUAAUUUAUUAAAAUAAAUUAAUUUAUAAAAUUUCCCUCCUAACCCUAAUUUUCAUUUUCCCCCUUUCUCUUCCAAAUCCAUCUCAAGCCUCCAUCUCAAUAUCUCAAACCUCCAUCUCAAUAUCUCAAGCCUCCAUCCAAUCCCACCGCUGCCGCUGGACGCCGACCACUGUAACUCGCUGCCGUCGUUGAAGCCGCAGCAGAUAAAGAAAAGUUGUUCCACUUGUAGAUCCUCGGAGCAAGAAAGAUUGACGAUAGAGUUUUGGCGUGAAGCUAAGAUUCUUUCAAAGCUUCACCAUCCAAAUGUGGUGGCCUUUUAUGGUGUGGUGCAGGAUGGACCGGGUAGGACAUUGGCUACGGUGACUGAAUUCAUGGUCAGUGGCUCCUUGCAGAAUGUUUUACUUAUGUUUCUUUUCCAGUGUUCAUUUGAAGGUGGUAUUGCGGGAGAACCUGGAUUCGAGGCUCAUGGUAGGUAUGUUUCUCUACCUUUAUUCAUUUUAUCUUGUUGGAUGUUGUGUUCUCCAGCUUUCAUUGGUGGGAUGAUAAAAGAUAUGAUUGUUCGAUCUCUAUAUAAUUUGAAGGUUCAUAAUAUCAUGGAAGUAAGGGAUACCAAUUUUUGAAUGCUCAACACUAUGAAUAUCUUUUCACGUUCCUAGUGGAACUUUUUUCUUUUUGUACCUAAUUAAUAUAUCGACCUCAUCAGGUAUACCUUUUGUGGUUUGGCUACUUUGAUUCUGAUUAAUGAGGUUCACCGGUUGGACUUGCGGAGUUUACUUGUAAGACUUUGCUGAGGAAAAUUAAUCACCAUUGUUAAUC